GGCACUUUUGCCCUCCAGGCACUGUGACCCCCAGACCGUGCCCAGCAGGCACCUACAACAGCCUGGCUGCCCAGGGCCACUGCGAGUCUUGUCCUGAGGGGUGAGUGCUGAGAGGCCGUCCAAGGGGCUUGUGUGUCCUGCCCAACGGGGUGAGCCUUCCUGCUACAGGAAGUGGCUGGACUGGAUGCUCUCUAAGACCCCUUUCAACCUGAGUUUUCUGUGACUUUAAAAAAAGGUCACUGAAGGGGGUACCUGGGUGGCUCAGUGGUUGAGCAUCUGCCUUCGGCUCAGGGCAUGAUCCCGGGGUCCUGGGAUCGAGUCCCACACCGGGCUCCCUGAGAGGAGCCUGCUUCUCCCUCUGCCUAUGUCUCUGCCUCUCUCUGUGUCUCUCAUGAAUAAAUUUUUAAAAAAAAUCACUGAAGAACUGCCACCUUCUAGCCACCUUUCUUUAUGCCUCUUGAUCUCUUUACUGAGUGUGCUGAGACAUUCCUAAUUCCAAACCUACGUCUCUUUUGCUGUCAUUUAAGCACCCCCCCCCAACCCCCGCCCUGGGGCUUGAGCUGGAGAGGGCCUUGUCCACAGGGGUGGCACAGCUCCUGAGGCCAGGGGGGCAGGCUAGCCCAGGCAGCCAUGUCUGCCCCACCCCACACUGCCCUGUGAGCCCCAUCCUUCCUGCUUGUCUCUUCCGUAGUUUCUUCUGCCCGGCGAACACUUCCUCUGUGGUGGAGAACGAGUGUCCUGCAGGCCAUUACUGCCCCAUCUCCACGGCCUCUGCAUCUCAGUUCCCCUGCCCCAGAGGCACCUACAAGCCACAGAGAGGGGGCGUCCAGCAGUCAGACUGUACACCCUGUGAGCCAGGUAAGGGGACAGGUCAUACCCCCACCACAGCCAUAUUAGGGCACAUCUUCCCUGACCAGUGAGGAUGGGACUUAGGACUGGCUUGGAUAGAGAUGCUUCAGCCACAGCCCACAAGGCACCUUUGCUGGCUGGGAUGGGAGGUGCCCCCAAUUUCUCCCUGCCCCAUAACUGGGGAUCCUGUCUCUUCCUCUCUCCUAUAGGCUCCUACUGCCUCCUGCCUGGGCUGGUGGCCGUGUCUGGGCCUUGCAGGGCAGGGUUCCACUGCACUCAAGCGGCAGCUGUCCCCAAUCCCACCGAUGGGAUCACAGGAGACCUCUGCCCUCCAGGACACUUUUGUCCCGAGGGCAGCCCCAGGCCCAUUCCAUGCCCCCCAGGCUCUCUCCAGCCCAUCCCGGGGGCCACGUCUCGGGAGGACUGCCGGCCGUGCCCACCUGGCUGGUUCUGCUCCAGGGCCGGCCUGAGCUUCCCAGAGGCUCCAUGUGAAGGAGGCUGGUUCUGCCCUGGGGCCUCUGUCUCUGGGCACAGUCCAGGCACUGUCUGUAGAGAACCAAGAGGCUCAAGCGCCCUGUUGUUACCAAGUUUACAAUCUGACAGCACUUCAGUGGGAAGAGUCUCUUCACCCAACAGAGAAGGUCCCUCUGAUACUGCAGCUCUCAGGAGGAAUCCCCCACACUGUCCCCACCUGGGAGAUCUGGCCUCAGCAUGGACACGACCCCAACUCCAGAGCACAACCUAUUUAGGACCGCAUCUCCAAAAAAAAUGCAUCAAAUAUCCCAGGAAAUUUAAAAAAUGGAUAUAUAAAAAAAAUAAAAACAGUUUCAUCCUUCAGAAUAUGGAUAAAGAAUACAGGUUUCUGAUCCUGCUCCAACUCUACCUGCGGUCUGACUCCUAA
rnacentral:lncRNA from 12 species